GGAUCGGUUGAGUUCCUAGCCAAGAAUCGCGAUGGCUGUAUUUCAUAUCUGUUCCUGCCAUGAAUCUCUUUCACUCCAUAUCUGACUUUGCAGCAUCUCUUGCUCCACUGUAGUGACUCUGCAUGGAUCCUUAUCAAUCUCUGUUGGACUGGCUGUUAUCCUUUAUCAUUGGUCAUAUACUGGUAGCUGAGAUUUCAUUGUCUGGUGUCUUGAACUUGUCAAGACCUAUCAACUGUAUUUAUUUUGUGCUAAUGCUCUUGGCCCUAUCCAUUAUUGAGUAGUUUCUUCUAAAACAGACAGGUCUACCAACCUCUCCAUUACAAUGAAUGCUUGCCACUGCCUUCUGUUACUCAGUGACAGGGUGUUUUAUAAGAUUAUCUUGUUUCAUUGCUUUUUUACUCAGACAGACAACUUUUCUUCUAUGUUUGCUUCCAUCUUCAGAUUCUUUGAAGUCCCCAUUGGCUAUAGCAGCUAGAGUCAAACGCAGCUGGUCUCCUUGGGUUUUCUCUUAAAAUUUACUUACACUUGGAUUACAUUUAUAUAGAGGUUCUCUUUGACAAAUGUCAUCUUGCUGAAAUAGUUGACUCCACACAUCUCAGGGGACAGGAUAAUGCCCAUUAAUUAUUAAUUCAGUUACCUCCAAUCGUGAACAUGGUUGCAUAGUGAAGGAACAUGGGGAUUGGACAUAGGUUUUUAUCUGGCAGUGUCUUGCGAGAUUGAAAUUCCUUUUGCUUUGCCUCAGACGUGGUUACUCUCCCUGUCUCCCAGUCUAAAUGAGGUAAUACAGAAUCUAGCUUCUUGAUGUUCUUUAAAACAUACACAUGGUCUCAGGAGUACUAGAGUAUGUGUUCAUGUUGAGAAGAACUGUACAAAGAAAGCCAGGCAAAGAUAAAAGAUGGAACAUGCUUCUUUUGCCUACUCCCAAGGAAACUCCAUUAUCCUUGAAAGGCCAUGUGACUGCUCAAAGCCCAAUGUGAGUCGAAAGAAGAAUCCACAAGGACAAGCUUAGUGUGAGCCGAAAAUGAAGUUGUUACCAGACAGCAAACUGCAGUCCUCGCUUCUUAUGAAUAUUUGAAUGAGUAACUAAAAACAGCUCAGUAAACUCUAAGCAACUAUGACAGCUGAAACUGUCUGGAAACCAGGAGUCCACCAGGACCAUGAUGAAAAGAUCGCCAGUUACCUUGUGCCCUCAUCCUGCUGUGGGUCUACAGAGGGGUGGAAUCAGAUCUAUUUUACUCAGAUAUAAGUUAUGAAAAAUCUGAUUUAUCUCUGCACCUUCGGAAGCUAAACAGCCUCCAAAUCUCCCGUGUUAUUUUGAAUUCAUUAAAAUGCAAUGAUUUCUAACAAUCUUUUCAAGGCAAGAGAAUGCCAUGUUUUUGCAGACCCUGAAAUAUUGAUGCUGUUGUUGUUUUUACUCAUAGAAAAUUGGCCCUAGUCAAUCUUUCGUAUCUUUCAGCCUGUUCCAUGUGAACAGAAUCCCUAAAGCCAAGAUUCUCUGAAUUAUUCCUCCAAAAGCUCUAAUAAAAAGAGU